GUCAGGUUGAAAGAAGGCUAAAAAAAUAUGAUGUCACAAAGUAACAAAGUUUAACUUUUUCAUGAAAAUGAAGAUCAUGUUAGAAGCUAAGCCAAAAGGCCAAAAGGAAGUGCUCAUGGAUCAGGUAUGUUCUAUGUAUCAUCCCAAGGUAACCUUCUUGCAAUACUAGAGAAAGAAAACAUUCUGAUCUAAGAGCACUUCCAAAAAUAUAAAGCUCCACAUUUAAUUUAAAAUGUUAGAAUAAAUACAAGAGAUCAUAAUGGGACAAGUACCGAUUGCAAGACUGGGAAAUUUUCACUAGUAGAGAUUGUAAGAAUGGGAAACUUUCACUAACACAGAUUGCAAGAAUGUGGAAUUUCCCAGUGGAUUUGACAUCAAUAUCAUGCAGAAGGUUCACCAGACAGGUAAUGAUUUGAUAAAUUUAUGUACUUCACCCCUGUUUGGAUCAUGGUUUGCCAUGGUUUCAUAAUUCAUGGUCUGGUUUCUCUGAUUGUUUGGGAAAUUGUUCUUUAAAAAGGGUGAUUUUGGGUUGUAAAAUGAUGGUUUUACAUGGGAUGAUUUACAGAUUUUGUAUUCCCAAUUUAUAUUUGAACAACUUAUAAAAUACCAAGUAUAUCUUAUUCUUUUAUCUUAGUAAACCUUCCGUAUCCCCUCAUCUUCGCUAAAGAGCAUUUUAGUAAUUUUUAUAUUUAUUCUACCAUUCCAUACCAUCUAACCAAAGAUCAUCAUCACUAAAAGGUAUUUUAAUAAUCUUAAUAUUUAUUUUAUCAUUCCAUACUAUCUAACCAGACAAGAAAAAGUUAUUAAACCAUUCUGUACCGUACCAAACCAGUAAAAAACAUAUUUUCAUACAUUAAUGAACCAUACCAUACAAUACAAUACCAUUCAAUAUAUUAAUAAAGUACAUUAAUAAAUCACGCUGCACUUAAUCGAAAUAGAUGUUAGAAAUUUGGUUCUGGACUUUGACUACUCUAAGUUACUUAUCAUUAUAGCAAGUGCUGUGGCAGGAGAUGUUUCACUAAGAUUCAUUUUUCCAUUUUAAAUUAAAUUUAGAUAUUUGUCUUGGAAACUGCUCUUAGAUCAGUGUGUUUUAAUAUUCCAAACUAUAUCAACAAAGAAACAAAUUUGUCAAUGCCCUUUUGCCAUGUAAUAUCUAGUUGAUCACAAUCACAAAUACCUAAAGAGACUAAAAGAAAUAUACCAUACAGCUCUAUUCAGUUAUAAUAAAUCAUAUCAGAUAAUAACCCAAGAGAAUUUUCAAGUCAAGCCCUAAGGGCACCAACAAAAUUUGCGAAACUUUCCUUUUGUUUUCUUUUCGCAGAAAUCAAACA
rnacentral:misc_RNA from 1 species